AACAAACGCUGGCGGCGUGCCUAACACAUGCAAGUCGUACGAGAAAGUUUGCUUCGGCGGACGAGUAAAGUGGCGCACGGGUGAGUAACGCGUGGAUAAUCUGCCCUUCAGUUGGGAAUAACUCAUCGAAAGGUGGGCUAAUACCGAAUGACGCUGUCCAACGCAGGUUGGGCAGCCAAAGAUGGCCUCUGCUUGCAAGCUGUCGCUGAGAGAUGAGUCCGCGUACCAUUAGCUAGUUGGUAGGGUAAUGGCCUACCAAGGCGACGAUGGUUAGCUGGUCUGAGAGGAUGAUCAGCCACACUGGAACUGAGACACGGUCCAGACUCCUACGGGAGGCAGCAGUGAGGAAUCUUGCGCAAUGGGGGAAACCCUGACGCAGCAACGCCGCGUGAGUGAGGAAGGUCUUCGGAUCGUAAAGCUCUGUCAGGUGGGAAGAAACGCAAUGAGGUAAAUAAUCUUGUUGCCUGACGGUACCACCG
rnacentral:rRNA from 1 species